GGUUUAGGUGUUUUGCUUUCUCCUCCUCCUCUCUGUCUUCUCUCUCUCUCUCCUGUGCAGUGUGGUGAUCAUUAGAAGGCGCAGCUGGUUCACAAUGAGGAGCACCUGUACUCAUCUAAUCAACUCCUCCAUAAAACCCUGGUCAUGUUCACACUCCAGUGCCAGAUAAUUCCGUCUCACUCGUGUCUGCUCGAGCCAGCCUGAGUCCUGCCACCGCCACCAGCGAGAACUAGAUCCACCUUCAUUUUGUGGAUUGUUUUUUAGUUGCUCCUUUUUUCCUUAAUUAAACUUUGUUAAAAGACUGAA